rfam:Hordeum vulgare subsp. vulgare, WGS project CAJW01000000 data, contig: morex_contig_37149
CUUAUACUCCCUCUGUCUCACAAUUCUUGUCUUAAGUUUGUCUAGAAAUGGAUGUAUCAAAGUACUAAAACUUGACUAGAUACAUUCAUAUCUAGACAAAUCUAANNNNAGAAUUUUGGGACGGAGGAAGUAUUAG